GUAGGUGGCGAGCGUUGUCCGGAAUUAUUGGGCGUAAAGCGCGCGCAGGCGGUUCUUUAAGUCUGAUGUGAAAGCCCACGGCUCAACCGUGGAGGGUCAUUGGAAACUGGAGAACUUGAGUACAGAAGAGGAAAGCGGAAUUCCACGUGUAGCGGUGAAAUGCGUAGAGAUGUGGAGGAACACCAGUGGCGAAGGCGGCUUUCUGGUCUGUAACUGACGCUGAGGCGCGAAAGCGUGGGGAGCAAACAGGGAUUAGAUACCCUGGUAGUCCACGCCGUAAACGAUGAGUGCUAAGUGUUAGGGGGGUUUCCGCCCCCUUAGUGCUGCAGCUAACGCAUUAAGCACUCCGCCUGGGGAGUACGGCCGCAAGGCUG
rnacentral:rRNA from 1 species